rnacentral:tRNA from 1 species
GCGGGUGUUGUAUAAAGGCUAUUAUGCUAGCCUUCCAAGCUAGAGAUGAGGGUUCGAUUCCCUCCACCCGCACCA